rnacentral:lncRNA from 1 species
UCUCAAGAAGCUCACAUCUAGGAUCAAGUAGCGUGGAGACCACUGAGACCCAGCCACUGGAGACCAUUAGCCUAGGGAGGUCAUUGGUGUCCUUGCCAAGCCCUGUUUUGGUUCUGGGUCCAGGAGACAGAGUGUAGUCAGAGGAGAGGAAUCACAGACAGCCCAGUGCAGACAACAGGCAACUCUUUCAAGGAGUCAUCUUAUAAAGCAACUAGAACAGUACCUGGCAGACACAAGACACGUAAUACAUAUUUUUGAAUGAGGAACUUGGCUCCAGAAGCCAUGAGAAUAACUUUGUUCCAACACAUUCAGGCUGCGGUCAGAAAGGGUGAGCUGGAAGCAGUGAGCUGGGAGAUAAUGAAACCAAAACACCAUUAUCAGGAAGCUUGAGAACAAGGCCACCUUUUAAGUAUCUAGAAAUUCCCAUUAAUUUCUUCCACACCUUGUUCCCCAUCCCACCUGAAGACUGAAGCUGAGAGGCUUUUUUCCCAGUCAUCUUGACCACAAGAUCAGUUCUCUCCGUGAACAUAAAGACAAAAUCGCUGUGACACCAACAGACAGAUUUUUUAACAAGUGGAAUCCAUGUCUCAUGUAAACAAUGUGCUACUGCCUGCCAUUGAGUUCUCUUCCCUCGUUUUCCUUUUUGAAGACUUAACCCCUUUCCCAAAGGGACAUGUGCUCAGGUUUCUUGACUCCACAGCAAUCCCUUCUGUUGUGUAAGGCAAACUGAUCACCUUUCACAACGAGACAAGAAGUGAUUUAAAUCAGAUGGUGACCCAAUGACAAUGUCUGUGCUGUGUCCUAUGGAGAAAACCAAAGCUGAAAUCCAGUAACAGGUGAUAGGAAGAUGUGGAGAUAGAAACUGACCUGAAUUCUGAAAAACAACAAGAGAAAAGGAAGUCUGAGAACAAGCUGGUGUUCUUCCAAAACCUGUUCAUUGUGUGAAUUCCUAGAAGAUAGCGUGACACCGAGAAACAGGCUGGAGUGACACACCCAAACAAUUAUGCUACCUGGAUCUGCCAAGGCAGGAGGACAAACUCAGCAGCCUGGAGAAUGGAGGACACAGUCCAGAGUUGGUGAGCCAAGUUUUCUUCUGUUUGUUUUGCUGUUGCUGUUUUUGUUCUUGUUGACCUAUUGAGUUCUAUGAUGAGACCAAACGUUUAAUAAUUGUCUUCUAUUCUAAAACUUGUCUCUCAGCAACAACAGCAGCAAUUACUUUUGACCACUCACUAUCGGAAAACACUGCUUUAGGCUGUGGAAAUGCAGUAGUAGAAAAGCCAGGCAUAAUCCUUAUCCCCAUGGAGGCACUAUCUCCAUCCAAGGGCAGAGGACCUGCAAGCCCUGAGGUCUCCAGCUGAGGUUCCUCUCUGAAGGACAGUUGCACUUCAGGUCAUGCUGCAGUAUGAGAGAAGGCAGCGUGACAUCUUGAGUUUCUAAUGCUCACACCUGUCUCAGUGAAGCAUUUUUACAGAGUAAUCACCACCCCCCUCACACCCCCAACAAUGUCAUCAAGUCAUAAAUCUCCUUGGUUUGAAAUAUUGGAUUAAAAUAUGAUUAAACAAUAUGUCUCAAUGGAAAGUUAAGAUA